GGAUUGUGGGGGGUCGCUCUAGGCACCGCAGCACUGUGCUGGGGAUGUUGCAGCUGCCUGGGAGUGACUUCACACAGUCCUC
ensembl:miRNA MIR1301 microRNA 1301